AAAAAGAUAAGCUAAAUAAAGCUAUUAGGUUCAUACCCUGAUUAUAGAAUUUAAAAGUUCUUCUUUUUA
rnacentral:tRNA from 2 species